CUGUUUUUCACUAUGCUCUUAAGCUUAGGGUGGACCUCACCCUGACAUAACCACUAACCAUAGUAUGUGAGUCUACAGUGGCCUCUCAUUCAUCUCCACUUAAACUGAACACAAAAGACAGGUGAAAAAAAAAAAGCAGUUUCCUAUCUAUGCUAAAGUUAGAAGGGUGAAGGGUGUUUUUCUCCUCGGGGCUGCAGCAGAGGUAUCCAUAACAGAGAGAAGCCAGCGGAGCAGAUCAGGCCGGAGGUGAAGAGGUCAGAGGGGAGGAGAGAGAAAGGAGGAGCUAAAGCCUCGUGGUGACCCCUGUAUCACCCAGGCUCCUAAACCACUGGCGCUAAUACACAGACCCAGUGGUGAUGAGCCCCUGGUCAGUCUUCAGCAGAAGGUGUCCUCCUUUCUGAGACAGGCUCUGGAGAAAGUCCAGCUGGCAGAGAGCAGCCAGCCUGACAACACAGGGGGAGGAGGUGAAGAUUGGCACAUCCUGUAAGAAUGGAGGCUGCACCAAG